rnacentral:lncRNA from 1 species
CUUUCAAGGGAGAAAUUGACAUGUUUGGAAGGAUAUUUGGAUUCCACAUUACAGAUUUUAAAGGAGAAAGAGGCAAGAGCAACUACUGGGUGGUAAUGAUUACACGAUUACUAGAAAAAAGUGUAAGCAUACAAAGGCACAGGAGAUUCUUUCUUUUUUUGGAACUUUGUAUAUGUAGUUUUUCAGUAUAGGCCAUGGUUUCUUUCUAGGAAGUUCGUAGUUUCUCAAUUUCAGAAACGGCCUUGGUUUUGACCCAUGAUCAAGGUGUAUAGGAUAACGGGGGAAGAUGAUUUACUGAAGUCGUAUCAUUUUUUAGCCCAAUGUGGGACAAUUCUUGUUGAAACGAAGGGAAAAAAUAACUUCAGAGUGUGGUAGCAGUAACGCAUUGUACCGCUUCUUUCAUUGUUUUGCAAAUUUUGUGUUCUUAUUUCAAAAAAUAUGUCUUCAAAUCUUGAUGCUG